rnacentral:rRNA from 1 species
GUGUCAGCAGCCGCGGUAAUACGUAGGGGGCGAGCGUUGCUCGGAAUUACUGGGCGUAAAGGGUGUGCAGGCGGCCGAUUAAGUCAACGAUGAAAUCCCGAAGCUCAACUUCGGAAUGGUCUUUGAUACUGAUCGGCUUGAGGCUGGUUGAGGAGAGCGGAAUUCCCGGUGGAGCGGUGAAAUGCGUAGAUAUCGGGAGGAACACCAGAGGCGAAGGCGGUUCUCUAAACUUGUCCUGACGCUGAGACACGAAAGCUAGGGGAGCAAACGGGAUUAGAUACCCCGGUAGUCCUAGCUGUAAACGAUGGACACUAGAUGUUCCCGCGUUUAUGCGGGAGUGUCGUAGCUUACGCGUUAAGUGUCCCGCCUGGGGAGUACGGUCGCAAGGCUGAAACUUAAAUGAAUUGACGGGG